rnacentral:rRNA from 1 species
AGAGUUUGAUCCUGGCUCAGGACGAACGCUGGCGGCGUGCCUAAUACAUGCAAGUCGAGCGGAGAGGAGAGAGCUUGCUCUCGAAUCUUAGCGGCGGACGGGUGAGUAACACGUAGGCAACCUACCUGUAAGACUGGGAUAACCUCGGGAAACCGAAGCUAAUACCAGAUAAGCUGAAUCCCUGCAUGGGGGUUUACUAA